rnacentral:rRNA from 1 species
AGUGAACGCUGGCGGUAGGCCUAACACAUGCAAGUCGAACGGCAGCACAGUAAGAGCUUGCUCUUACGGGUGGCGAGUGGCGGACGGGUGAGGAAUACAUCGGAAUCUACUUUUUCGUGGGGGAUAACGUAGGGAAACUUACGCUAAUACCGCAUACGACCUACGGGUGAAAGCAGGGGAUCUUCGGACCUUGCGCGAUUGAAUGAGCCGAUGUCGGAUUAGCUAGUUGGCGGGGUAAAGGCCCACCAAGGCGACGAUCCGUAGCUGGUCUGAGAGGAUGAUCAGCCACACUGGAACUGAGACACGGUCCAGACUCCUACGGGAGGCAGCAGUGGGGAAUAUUGGACAAUGGGCGCAAGCCUGAUCCAGCCAUACCGCGUGGGUGAAGAAGGCCUUCGGGUUGUUAAGCCCUUUUGUUGGGAAAGAAAAGCAGCAGGUUAAUACCCCGCUGUUCUGACGGUACCCAAAGAAUAAGUACCGGCUAACUUCGUG